GUGCUCGUUUUAGCAGCAUAUAUACUAAAAUUCGAACGACACAGAGAAGAUUAGCAUGGCCCCUAUGCAAGGAUGACAUGCAAAUUCGUGAAGCAAAUGAGGAUCAU
ensembl:snRNA U6 U6 spliceosomal RNA